AUGGCGACCGCGGCGGGGGCGACCGGGGCGGCGGCGCUGUGGCAGCCGCAGGAGGAGGGGCUGCGCGAGAUCUGCGCGGUGCUGGAGGCGCACAUCUCCCCCAACUCGGACCAGGCCCGCAUCUGGCAGCAGCUCCAGCACUACGCCCAGUUCCCCGACUUCAACAACUACCUCGUCUUCCUCCUCGCCCGCGGCCAGGGAAAAUCUUUUGAAGUACGUCAAGCUGCCGGUCUUCUAUUGAAAAACAAUCUGCGGGCGGCUUUUGUUUCCAUGCCUCCGUCAUCUCAGCAAUACAUCAAAUCAGAGUUGUUGCCAUGUAUAGGGGCAAAUAACAGGGCAAUUAGGUCCACAGUUGGAACAGUUAUCAGUGUACUUUUUCAAAUUGUUGGAGUUACUGGAUGGAUCGAGUUGUUUCAGGCCCUACAUCAAUGUUUGGACAGUAAUGAUCUGGAUCAUAUGGAAGGUGCUAUGGAUGCUAUCUACAAGAUAUGUGAAGAUGUUCCUGAAGAGCUUGAUGUCGAUGUUCCUGGCUUGUCUGAACGACCAAUUAAUGUAUUCAUGCCACGAAUGCUGCAGUUUUUCCAGUCCCCGCAUGCAAGUCUUCGGAAACUAUCACUGGGCUGUAUCAACCAGUAUAUCGUGGUGAUGCCAUCGGCGUUGUACAUGGCCAUGGAUCAGUACCUGCAGGGCUUAUUCGUCCUUGUGAAGGAUCCUUCAGCGGAUGUCCGGAAGCUGGUUUGCUCGGCCUGGGUUCAGCUCAUUGAAGUGCGACCAUCAAUUUUGGAGCCACAUUUGAAAAAUGUUACUGAAUUGAUCCUGCAAGCUAACAAAGAUUCGGAUGAUGAAGUUGCUCUGGAGGCUUGUGAAUUCUGGUCAGCAUAUUGUGAUGUUAGCAUGCCCCCUGAAGGACUGCGGGAGUUCUUGCCACGCUUAAUACCAACUUUGGUGUCAAAUAUGGUCUACACUGACGAUGAUGAAUCACUCGCUGAUGCUGAGGAAGACGAAUCCUUUCCGGACAGGGACCAGGAUUUGAAGCCCCGUUUCCAUGCCUCUCGGUUGCAUGGAUCUGAAAAUGGAGAAGAGGAUGAUGAUGAUGAUGCUGUAAAUGCUUGGAACUUGCGGAAAUGUAGCGCUGCUGGGUUGGAUGUCCUUUCUAAUGUUUUUGGGGACGACAUUCUUCCGACUUUAAUGCCUUUGAUUCAGCAAAAUUUGGCUCGGACAGAUGAUGAGUCCUGGAAGGAGCGGGAAGCUGCUGUUUUAUCGAUUGGUGCUAUAGCAGAGGGAUGCAUCACUGGGUUAUAUCCCCACCUUCCACAGAUGGUUGCCUUCCUAAUCCCACUUCUCGAUGAUAAGUUUCCUCUUAUUCGGAGUAUUACUUGCUGGACCCUCUCCCGAUACAGCAAGUUCAUUGUUCAGAGCCUUGGCCAUCCAAAUGGUCGCGAACAAUUUGAUAAGAUUCUCAUGGGUUUGCUUAGAAGGAUAUUGGAUACUAACAAAAGAGUGCAGGAGGCUGCCUGUUCUGCAUUUGCAACGCUUGAAGAGGAGGCUGCAGAAGAACUAGUACCGCGACUGGAAGUCAUUUUGCAGCACCUUAUGUGUGCAUAUGGAAAAUACCAGAGGCGGAACCUUAGGAUACUCUAUGACGCUCUUGGUACCCUUGCUGAUGCUGUUGGAGCAGAGCUAAACCAGGCAAAAUAUCUUGAUAUAUUUAUGCCACCAUUAAUCGCGAAGUGGCAGCAACUUCCCAACUCUGACAAGGAUCUAUUUCCGCUACUUGAAUGCUUUACAUCUAUUGCACAGGCACUGGGACCAGGAUUUUCUCAGUUUGCUGAGCCAGUGUUUGUGAGGUGCAUCAGUCUUAUCCAAACUCAGCAGUUGGCAAAGGUUGAUCCUGCUGCAGCAGGUGCGUUGUAUGAUAAGGAAUUCAUUGUCUGUGCAUUGGACCUGUUGUCUGGACUUACAGAAGGACUUGGUGGCGGUAUUGAAAGUCUGGUUGCACAAAGCAACUUGAGAGAUCUACUUCUGCAAUGCUGCGUGGAUGAGGCACCUGAUGUUCGACAAAGUGCUCUGGCCCUUCUUGGCGACAUUUCUAGGGUCUGCCCUAUACAUCUUCAGCCACGCCUCCAAGAAUUCCUUACUGCUGCAGCAAAGCAAUUGACUCCACAAUCUGUGAAGGAUGCUGUGUCAGUUGCCAACAAUGCUUGUUGGGCCAUUGGAGAAUUAGCAAUCAAGAUUGGCAAGGAAAUUUCACCUGUGGUGAUCAGUGUUGUUUCAUGCUUGGUUCCUAUUCUAACAACCCCAGAGAGCUUGAAUAAGUCACUCAUUGAAAAUAGUGCGAUCACUCUCGGGAGGCUUUCAUGGGUCUGUCCAGACAUUGUGGCCCCUCAUAUGGAGCAUUUCAUGCAAGCCUGGUGCAAUGCCUUGUGCAUGAUAAGAGAUGAUUUCGAGAAAGAGGAUGCGUUCCAUGGUCUUUGCGCAAUGGUGGCAGCAAACCCCACAGGGGCUGUGAGCUCACUAGCCAACGUAUGCCAGGCCUGUGCAAGUUGGAAUGAGAUAAAAAGCGAAGGUUUGCACAAUGAAGUGUCCCAGAUUUUGAAUGGCUACAAGCAGAUGCUCGGAGCUGCCGGCUGGGAACAGUGCAUGUCCACCCUGGAACCAGCAGUGGUGCAGAGAUUAGCGAGAUACGGGGUCUGA
rnacentral:rRNA from 1 species